rnacentral:lncRNA from 1 species
AAGAAAGACAAGAAAAAGAGGGAUCAAAGAGAGUAAGUGGAUGAGGCAAAGAAAAAGGAAUACAAGUAAACACCACUUCUAAAGCAUCAACUAGAGCAUCAAUUUGAGGAGUGACCAUUCAAAGCCUCCUUUCACUUCAGAGUGAGCUUCCAAAGAUCCAUAAAAAGAGAGCUUCAACUGUCAAUCAUUGAAUUCUAUCACAAGAUCAAGAUCGAGCAAAAAAAGGAAAAGGAAACAACUGAAUUCUGUUCACCAAGAUCCCAACUUUCAAAGCAUUCAAACUUGAGCUUUAACGACAUUAAUCCAACCUUUGAAGAGGUUACUUUGUAUGUAUUUUCUAUCUUUCUUUAGUGCAUGAGAUUAGAAAAUCUAGUGUAGGAUUUUUGGUAUAGAUGACACCGUGGAAAAACAACCGGCUUGUAUGGUUUGGUUGUACCUGUGAAACAAAUAGGUUGCGGUUGAUUGCCCUAGAAAACCGACUAAGUCUUGUUGAACUUGAAAAUCAGCAAGGAGUUCCUAAGUGUUGGAACUCGGAUUUGGUUUUGGUUGAUUACCAGAAAAAUCAAAUGGAUUUGGUUGUAAACUCGAAAAGUAAUGCAUCUAUAAUCGAUUUAUAAAUUAUAGUAAAAUUUUCAAGAAGAAAGUCUUGAAAAGUGGAUAUAGGUGCAGAGUUGGCACCAAACCACUAUAAAAUCUUAGUGUUUAUUUUUUUGUGCUUAUUCUUAUCUUUUACAUUUAUUUAUCAUUCAUGUUGUUGUGCAAACUUAAAUUUCGUAUUAGUUUUAAUUAAAAAUAUUUAAGUUUAUAAAAAGAUUUAAAAAACCCAAUUCACCCCUCCCUCUUGGGUUCUCAUUUUGGGCAACCAAAGGACCUGUCUUUUUUUUCUUCCUUCCUGAGGUGCUCAGGCUUCUUCCCCUACUGUCCCCACUUGUUCUCCCUACUCCCUCCCUCCCCCUAGCUAUCUCCGAUUUGGGGUAUUUGAUUUUCACAGGAUUAUCCAAACAAGCUCUUAAAUGAUAGAUAAUCGGCAAGCACACCAAUUGUCUCUCGAUCAAAACACAAUAUGACGCCAGCAUACUCGCAUUUGAAAUUCAUGUUAUUUUUUUAAAAAAUGCGAGCAAACAUUUUAGUAACAAAUCGAAAUAGGGAGGCCCAUCUUCAGGUGCAUUUGGAUGGCACAUGGAUGUACUGUGAUAUUAUUAUUUUACAUGUGUUUUUGAAAUUGUGAGUUAUGGUUUUAAAAAUUUAGGUAUGCAUUUUCCCAACGGACAUUUAGACAUUUAGACAUCUGUGUUAUACUAUCAUCAAAUUAUAAUAUGUGCAUGUACAUACAACCUUACAGGCAUAUGUAUAUACACACAUAUAUAGUAUUAUUCUCAAAUGAUGUAAGCUUGUGAUGUAAUAGAUGUUUUUUAUUUCCAUAUUACUAGUGAGCCUUGGUCCAAUGGUAAGAUUGCUCCAUUGUGAUAUGGGUGUCACUGGUUCGAAACAUAGAAGAGUCUCUUCACACAUGGGAGUAAGGCUACAUAGAUCUGACCCUCUCCAGACCUCGUAGCGAUAGGAGCUAAGCCUCCUACAUGCGCAAACCAGAGAAGAAGAUAUCUAUUGUUGACAGAGCAUUCAUUUUCAAUAACGAAAAAGCCAGUUUCUGGACCAACCAUUAGCAUCUUAUCUGGUCAAUCAACUAUUAGAUAAAAUAGACUGUAUGAAGUUGUCUUCCCUCAUUUUUCCUUAAAGGAUAGGAAGCAAAUUUUAUAUUGCAAAAUGAAGUAUACAUCAUAUAAGCUAUGGAAUUGUUAAACGAUUUAAAACAGAAGUUUCCUACAUUCAAUUGUGUUUAAUUUUAAGUCCCCAGCAUAUGAUACCAGCAGAAAGAAAUGAAAAGUGAAGUCAUAAUUAUUUCUGAUUAAAUUUAAAGAUAUAUGUUUAAAAAAGAAAGAAUGCUAAGAUGCUCACAAUCUGCUGCAGCGAUGUGCAAAACACAGCUACACAUGCACAAAGAAAACCCUUGGCAUUAAUGUCCACAUCAGUGACCGUGCAAACUCCAACACCAAAGGCUACCCCAACUACAGACAUUAUCACUCUCGAGGAGUAGUGUUUGCUGUUGAGUAUCCAUUCCAUCAUGCAAACCACUGGUAUCAUGCUCAAUUUUGAGAUCUGCAUGUUUAACAGGAGAACGCAAGAUAAGAAAUAUAUUUCUCAAACACACACAAAAAAAUCAUACAUUUCUAGCCAACAGGCAUAAAACAACAGACCUGGUAAAACCCCACCGAGUUCAGCAUGAGACUAAGGUUCAUCCCUGUAAUUGAUAGAUUAGCAACAAUGGAGAACCACAAGAGCUCCCAAAAAGGAACGUGCUUGGGCACAGAUAAACCAGAUGCAUUUGAAAGGUAGCCGAUAAUGCCCGUCAGGGUAAAAUGAAACCCUGUUAGCGUGGUAGCUGCAGAAAUUCAUGUACCCUCAGUAAAGUUCAAUUAUAUUUAAGAAAACUAAUAACAAAAACAAAUCCAAAAUGGUAUAGAAAAGCGUGGCUUUUGUGAAUCCUAAUUAACUCAUAAUUUCCAGCAAUUAAAAAAAGAGGUAAUUUCGACAUCACCAGAAAUCACCCCAUGCUGCGGUUUUUAUGCUCCAAAUAAAAUUACAUCCAAGCAGACUCAUUCUAAAACCUUAUCAACUAACCAAAUUUAAGAUUUCCAACAAAGGGUUCCAGCACCAAAUCUUUUUGUGCCUCACAGGUCAUUUAAAGUCAAGUGAAUUCCGGUAAGUCAAAGAUCUUGACAGACAGGUUUACAAAUAGAUCCGAGAUCAGUUUAAUUUAUCAAUCCAUAAUAGAAACUCACAUUGAGAUCUAUAUCAUCGGAAACUCUUCAAAAGAAUAACACCCAGAUUAAUCAUCUUUUCAACGUAAAAGUUGAAUCUUUAUACAUUAAUUCUGCCCUAAUAUACCAAGAUAGAAAGACAUAUAAAGAGAGAGAGAGAGACGAAAAGGAUACCGAAGCUGAAUCCAUAGCCACCGGCAGACAUGAGCUGCUUGUUGGCCAUGAUAAGCCCCACGGAACUGACCACAUUCAUCGCCCACGCCCCCAUAUCCGAGACGACGACCUUGUUCUCCAUUUCCAUCGCCUAUUCGCCUUCUUCCAAUCCCCUCUUCUCAACGAAAACCCAAUCCCUGAUCCCUUCUCCCACCGCCCAAAUCCCCAGUCGGCUGCAAAUGAAUCCUCAAGGAGACGAAAUUGGGAGGGCAAGAGGGAGAAGAAAUCAGCUAUUGGGAGUGAGACCGAGGGUUUUGAGAGAAGAAUUAUAUAGAGAAGACGAGGAAAGACCGAAACUUUCCCCGCCUUGACGCUGGCGCCGAAGAAUAAGCAUUCACACCAUAGGGAAGAAAAUGGAGCUCGGGGAAAACUGGGGGAGGGAAUUAAUAGGUCUCCGAAGGUUCCGAGAUGGAGGGAAAAGGGAAGAACGCGUGCACCGACGGACAGCGCGCGUUUUAGGCGUACCGCGUUGGAUGCAGCUGGAAUUGUUCCGAAUCAGCCAUUUAGGCUAUCCGGGAAUCGGACAAGCGGACCAUUUGGUCGUGGUUGGUGGGAGGUACUGGUCUCAUGGGAUGAUCCCUGGUCUCAAGGUUUAUUUUUUUUAAUUCAAUUUGGUUGUGGUUUGGAAAGUCUUGAACCAAGAAAUUUAAUCAGCUUCGAUUUAAAUUUUCAGAAAACUGAUCCGAACCAAUCUGGACCGACCCAACCCCGCCCAUAUAGAUAUAUAUUCAAAACAAUUUGAUCCGAUCCAUAUAUAUCUAUAUAUAAAAAUUUUAAUUUUAAUAUAUAUAUAUAUAAUAGAAUUUUUAUGUUUAGAUUUAUUCCAUCGCAUUUGGUCCAAUCCAUUGGAUGCCAAUCCUAUUUAAAAUAGAAUUUGGGAUUUGUUCUAUCCCUUGACACCUCCUUGACUCACGAGGCAUUGUCUAGAGCACAGGUGAUUUAGGGGGAUGUGGCCCCAGAAACUGAGGAUUUAGGGGUUAGAGUCCCUGACUAGUUUAACCAAAAUGCCUUUCUUUUCUUUCUAAACUUCUUUUUUUAUUCAUGAAGUUAAGUGCAACCGCAUUUCGGAUUGCACGAACAUCCCCCGCAAAAGCUUCUUUUUGAUAAUCAUAUGCCUUUUUCAAAAUCAAAAGUAUAAACAUGUAUGCUUUUAAUAUAAUUCUUUUGUUAUAAAUAAUGAUUGAUGACCUGGCGACAGAGGAUCUAAAUAACAUGAGCACAUGAACAUUUUAUUCUAACUUAAUUUACAUGCAUAUUCUUAUAAAAAAGCAAUGGUCAUCCCUAAUAAUAUUAUUUUGGCAAAAUGGUGAUUCAUUCACCAAUAAUUCAUUAAGAAACGAAAGAAAAAAUGUUGCCAAAUUUAAGAAGCAGAUUCCAUGUUUUGGUUAAAAAAAUAAAUUUUAAGAUUUUGCAGAGGAAUUUGUCCCGGACAUGCACAUGAGGAAGAAAUGGCGGUGGUGUCGAUGCUCCAUCGGAAAAUGGAUGUUAUCGAUGAUCAUAAAGUUUUUUGUGGCAAAUAAUGGUUGUGAUUUAUAUAAUGUUGUAUAUUUAAUAAAUUAGAAUUUGAUUAUAAACUAUUCAGAAGCUGUAAAAUUUGAUGGCUUUAAGCCUAGUGAAGUAAUGAAUGCAUGAGAGUUACUGAUAUGUUAUGGAAGGAUGCAAGGUAAAUGCAGGAUCAUUGUUAUACUGAUGAGAGAAGACUCUUUUUGAUCCUUGGGCACUAACUUCUUUUACAAAUGACAAUAACAUGGCUAACUAGCUAAGAAAGGAUAUAAGAUUUAUGUGACUAGAAUUUAAUUUACAAAGUGUCAAUUGAAUUAUGUAUUGGUGUAACUUUCUUUGGUUUGUCCUUCUUUCCUGUUUGUCAAAACUCUGUAAUUUGUCAAAGAAAUUUCCUAUGGCCUUUGUAAAUGUAGAAAAAGAAAAUAACUAUUUUAGCAGUUUCAGGACUCCACUAUUACAUGUCUUCGCAUAAAAUAAUUGUGAUGUAUAUUCUAUGAUCAUUGUGAUGCUCCUGUGUUACCUGAAGUUGGCCUUUGAGAUAUAUAAUUUAAUAAUUAGUAAUUAUUUCCUAAUGUGCGAUGCUUCUAAUUUAAUGUUAUCACAUGAAGAUGUAACAUGCUCAUUGUGGGCCAUGGUAACAGCUCAUAAGAACCAUCAUAACGGCAAUAAUAUAUAUCAAGUGAGUUUUUAGUGCUGGUUAAAAAGUCAUUAAUAUUUUAGGACAUCUGUAAAAAUAAUAUUAGUUGUUUUUUUAUUUAACAACAAUUAAUAAUAGUUUCCAAAAUUUUAUUUAUCACUCAAGACAUAUUGAUAAGAUAAAUUAUGGGAAUAAGAUAAAAUUAUAAGUCUCGAUAAAUUAUGAAAUAGUGCAUAGAAAGAUUGGUUGUCAAAAUUAAUAGCAUAAUAGAAUUUUUUAACUACCUUGUUGAGAAAAAAUAGUUUAGUUAUUAAAAAAUAGUUUAGCAGUAUAAAUAAUUAUAGUCAUGAACAAGUAAUAACAAACUUUAUUUUAAAAAAAAACUCAAAUAGAAAUAACAGAUUUAAGAUAGCAAAUGAAACCAUAAAAUAUUUCAAACUUCGCAUCCAAAUCUUGAAAAGAAUUGGGUUCCAUUAUUGUGAAUAGCAUCCGGAGUUGUAUCUCUAACUUCAUCCAUUACUUCCUGGUGACUUGGUUGCACAGCUGCAUCUAGAUAAAGAAUAUCAUCAGGAAUUACUUCCUGACUUUCACAACAUACUUUUCAUCCUGAAAUUGCUCAAACAGCUUAUCAUUCAUGUCCUCUUAAAUGAUGUAGUUGUGGAUAGUCAUGGAAGCAACUUCAAUAAACAUUUGUUUCCCUUUGAAAUUCAUAUGAAGCCAUACAAUGCAAGAUUGGAAAAUAUGCUUCCAAGACAGUAAAACAAGCACAAAAAAUUCUCUAGCAAGCUCUGCAUGGUCAAUCAUAUGGAGAGCAUUGUCCAGAUCACUGCAUAUGCAACAACACCAAUCUAACUAAAGGCGAGUAGAAGUGGCAUUUAAAAUGGAGGAAUAAAGAAAGCUAAUGGACCCUCAUCCAUUAGUUCUAGGAAAAGAGAAAAUGCAGUUAUUUUUCCUCUUUUCUAUCUCUCAACUUGGUCUCUCCCUGCUCUUCUUUGCCACCAAGCAACAUAGCACCAUCUUGUCAUUAAUGUCAAGAUAGUGGAUGGUGCCCAAAACCGAUGUAAUAGUUGUUAUGUAACAACAUAGAACCUUAUCCAAAAAAGUUAGUCAAAAGAUAUUAUUUGAUUCCUUCAUCUUGUAUAAGUAUCCAAGAUCUACUAAGUGCAUAGCUAAUGUGAAACUAAACAUACGCUUAUACAGAUCCUCACAUACUUUUUCCACUUAAGUCAUGGUAUCCUCGCCGCUCUAAGAAUUCAGAUCUAUUCAAAUCUAAUCAUAAACAUCAUGAUUGGCAUGGUCAGCCUCAAUAGGCAUAUGCUGCAGUGUCCUCUAGUCCACAUAGGCUAUAGAUCAGUCCGCUCUGAUACCAUUUGUCAGAACACAGGACCUCGCCCAAAAAGGCUAGCCAAAAGGUAUUAUUUGGAUUUUUUAGUCCUUUAUAAAUAUCUAAGAUCUACCCAGUGCAUAGCCGAUAUGAGAUUAAACACAUGCCCAAAUAGUUCCUCACACAUUAUUAAUGUCAUAGUAACUGUUAUUUUAUACCUUGAUUGCACUUGUGCUAACAAGAAGUAGCCCUACAUAUCCCUCCCUUGAAAUUCAUUAAAAUAAUGAAAGGCCGACGUGGAAGAAAGAAAAAGAAGAGAGAGAGAAGCACAUCAUUCCAACAACUAAUAAGGCCUCAAAAAGAAAAUUCAGGUAAAAAAGUACGAGGAACCCAAAUGAUCUGAAUUUGAAAUUUGAAAUUAAAAGUUGAAAUUCAACAGAGAGAAUUUGAAGCUGCGAUAUACAGCAAAAUACACGACUUCAUGACUACCAUCCAAUCCCAAUAUCUUACCACCGCUGAUAUCACUUGUCAUCAAGCUGAAGAGAAAGCAAGGAAGAAGAGAAGGGAAAGAGAGAGAGAAGGUGAGGAAGGAGGGGAGAUACAAAUGACAUAUGAAGUGAAAAGAAUAAAUGAAUUUAUUGACUAUACUAGUAGUUUAACACCUCGUAUUCAAUUUAAGAACACACCAUUCUGGUGUUAAAUGGUUUCCCUACAUUGACUGAUAUUUGGCAUUCAAUUCAGCUCUCAGAUAAUGAGUACAAUCAAUAAACUUUUUGUCACGCCCCGAGCCCGAGGCGCGGCAGACGCCGCACGCCCGCACGGCGGGCCGCGCAGGCGUGCAAGGCAACAUAUCAUAUCAAAGCAAAUACAGAUGUUCAAAACUGACAUAAUUAUUUAAAUUUAUUCAAAAGCAGUCUUACAAAAUUUCAAAAUAACAUUUGCUAACAUAAUUCAAAUGUCCAAACUAAUCUAACUGAAAUGCCAAUAACUGAUGGAAUCAUCGGAACAUCUAACGCACUCCCCAAUCCCGUGCGAUCAAGCCUCUGGAUCUGAAAAACAGAGAAAAUAAAAUAAUGAGCUACACUAGCCCAGUAAGCAACAAAAUACCCCAAAGUGGGGUCGGAGCAUAUCAGGUCAAAAUACAGGAUAAUGGCUGGAAUAAAUCAUAAAUAACAUCGUUUUACUAUUUUCAAAACUUAUUAUCAUUUUUCCAAAAACUCUGAUACCAGAAUCUCAACAUAAUAGGCUACGGCCACGUAACCCAGUGGCAUGGGUUGCACAAGGUGCCAAAUCCACUAUUUUUAUCCACCGAUGGCAGCCGGUGUUGCACAAAAGUGCCAAANNNNNNNNNNNNNNNNNNNNNNNNNNNNNNNNNNNNNNNNNNNNNNNNNNNNNNNNNNNNNNNNNNNNNNNNNNNNNNNNNNNNNNNNNNNNNNNNNNNNNNNNNNNNNNNNNNNNNNNNNNNNNNNNNNNNNNNNNNNNGGCAGGGCUAGAACAGAGCAGAACAGAUCAUAGCCAUGCUGAGAAUGCAUAUAUACAGAAAAAUAGAUUUCAUAAAUUAUCCAGUCAUAUUUUGCGAUUUCAGAGCAUAUAACAAAAUUUUCAAAUGAAAUUUAACAUGCCAGACUCAUUUUACUAAAUACAAAACAUAUUUCGAAAUUAAUCCACUAAUAAUUAUUUUACCAAAUAAUUUUGAAAAUGCACUUUGAAGCAUUAAGUUACUUACCUCUUCUCGCUUAAUUCCUACUUCAGAUAGGCAGAUCAGGUUCACCUAUUUAAAUUUAAUUAAUUCUUUGUUAAUAUCAGAAUUAAGCAAAAAUCCAAAAAUAGUACUAUUGGACACGGCCCAACAGGGCCCAGAGUUGGCCCAUAAUAGGCAUGGCCCGAUAGGCCCAUAUUGGGCACGGCCCAAUGGGCCCGCAUAAAUCCAGCUAAGUAGGGCCCCCAAGGUUGGCUUCUAAUUAGUUCAUUUAUACAAUAAAAUUUAUUGCAGGGACUAAUACUUAAUUUACAGGGUACUAUUUUAUAAAGCUCGAGUGGGCUAAAUAAAAUAUAGUUGGGGACCUUUAUGUAAUAAAUCUUUUCUAUAGGGAUCAGAUACAAAUUACAGAAGGUCCUAAAAUAACAUAAUGUCAAGGGCUUAUCUGUAAAAUUUUAUUUAUUGGCCAAAUGGGUUUGGGUUUCNNNNNNNNNNNNNNNNNNNNNNNNNNNNNNNNNNNNNNNNNNNNNNNNNNNNNNNNNNNNNNNNNNNNNNNNNNNNNNNNNNNNNNNNNNNNNNNNNNNNNNNNNNNNNNNNNNNNNNNNNNNNNNNNNNNNNNNNNNNNNNNNNNNNNNNNNNNNNNNNNNNNNNNNNNNNNNNNNNNNNNNNNNNNNNNNNNNNNNNNNNNNNNNNNNNNNNNNNNNNNNNNNNNNNNNNNNNNNNNNNNNNNNNNNNNNNNNNNNNNNNNNNNNNNNNNNNNNNNNNNNNNNNNNNNNNNNNNNNNNNNNNNNNNNNNNNNNNNNNNNNNNNNNNNNNNNNNNNNNNNNNNNNNNAUCUUUGCAUCAUUGAGCUAAAUGUGUGCGUUCCUUUGUGUAUGGGGCCAUUAGGGUCUAGUAAAGUUUUAGAUGGACAAAUUCUGCAAAAAUAAAAAAAAGUGACCUGUUUUGGCAAUAUGCAAAUAGACUAGGUUUUUGUGCAAACACCUUGUUUAAAUUGGUAACUACAAAUAUAAUAUCGGUAUUUGUGAAUUAACUGUGUUCUAUGGAUGAUGAUGAAGCUAUUGGAGGUGGUCAUGGUGUUACUAGCACAAUCCUAAUGAACUUCACAAAGAAGUUGGGCUUUGAACAUUGCAUCUAUGAUGCUGAUCCAAAUGUGUGAGCUAGUGAUGAUGCUGCUACAUUAUUAGAUAGCAAUCAAGUCAAAAUAAGGAAAAAAAAAUCUCACAUUGAUGACGAUGGCUGGGUUGCUCGGACACUUUGAUUCAACUUCUAGAAUCUAUGUUAUCUGUAUUUGAACCAGAUACAUGUCAUAUACUUGGAUACAUAUCAAACAUUUUCAACUACAACUAUUAUAAAUUGGAAGAAAGUUAGAUUCCAACAAUGAGCUCCCCAUAACAAUGUCGAAAGUAAACUUUUGGUCUUUUUAGGGAUUGGUCAAUAUGUAGGUAUUAAAAUAACUUUACAAAAUCUCAAAAUUGUAAAAUCCUUAAGCUAAUUAGGAAGUUUAAAUGAGAAACAUGUAUUUUGGGAGACCCUUAUAAUGAGGUAUUUUAAUAGUUUUCUUCUAUACAUUAUUGAAUAUUUAUAUUUAGCUAAAAUUAUUUUUUGCACAUCUCUGUAUCUCCUUAUUUUUCUUUUGCUAAUGCGGCAUUUAGAUACAUGUUUGAAUCUAGUCUGUGUUGUUGCCUAUGCAAUAUUGCAUAAUGGGAACUUAAGUUUGAAGGACACUUUCCAGUAGGGUCUGUUGUGCCAAUAACGGGCACUGUACUGGUUGCCCAAUGACAUGAGUCUGUACGGACUUGCACCGUGCCAUGCCAUGCUGUGCUGGGCCUGUACUGACAUAGGAGACCGUGGGAGAGAGGAAAAGAGAGAGCGAGCGAAGGAGGGAGGGAGAGAGGGAGGCUGUCGGAGGUCGGUGGUGGUGUGGGUGGCGGAGGCCGGGGUCGGACCUUCUAUUUCGUUUGAACAGGGGUCCGGCCACCAGUGCCGGCCUUCGAUAGCCUCGGCCACGUCGGCCGACCUCCCUCCCUCUCCCUCUCCCUUCCCUGCUCGCUCUCUCUUUUCUUUUCUUUCCUUCUCCUCUUUUUUCGGUGACGGCGUUUCGGUUUUUUUGCCGAAACCGUCACGGUAAGCCGCCGGUACGGCUCAGGAUGCCUCAAACCGGACGGUUCGGGACAGUUCCACUGAUCUUGCCUUCUAGAUUAGAGUUGUGUUCUAUGGUUAUAAUUAAGGUCUGCCGUACCGGUACCGGUAGGCGUACUGGUCGCCUACCGGGUUGGUUCGGUUUGUACCGAAUCGGUAAGUUUUUUUUUAUCUUUCGGUUUUCGCAUCCGUGUGUGGGUGUCCAUGCACGGACGCGCGAGAUAAAUGCCACAGAGUGGCAUUAAUGAGCUCGUGCGGGUUGGGAAAACGUGCGGGCGGGGAAAACGCUCGCGUGGCGCUUCACAGCGCGGGGAACCGUGCGCGGACGCGGUUCCCUAAUGUGCGGAACAGCGCACCGGCGGGGAAAGGGAUAAAUGCCACAUUGUGGCAUUAAUAAGCCUGCGUGGGCGCGGGCGCACUGCCCCACGCGGGCUGGGGAAGCGUGCGGGCGUGGGAACCGCCCGUGCGGCGUUUAAUAGCGCAGGGAAAGUGCUCGUGCACGAUUUCCCGGUGCGCGGAAUCGCGUGGGGCGGGGAAACGCGCGCCCGCGUGGGGUAGGGUGAUGGGGGCUCACGGUCCAAAGCUCUUACCAUGCCCCUUUCCUCGUGCUUCUUGCGUGCGCAUUUAAAAAUCGCUGAUGAUGGACCGAUUGCAGGUAACGUCGGUGGAAUAAUUCAAUAUAAAGAUCAACAAUGAAAGCAAAUUGGAUUCUAUUCCAGUUAAUUGAAGAACAAAUAGCAAGAACGAUGAAACAAAAGAAAUCCAGCAAGAAAUUGAAGAGCUCCCUUCCUAGCCCAAUUUAACGGAGAUUGAUGUAUCUACCACUAGCCUAAGUCCUAGAACAUAAGAUCUAAGGACUGAAAUCGGCACAAUCACCGCCCAAGUCUUACGGCCGACUCUCUAACAAGAGAACAAGACUAAAACUCAACUCUGGAAUAACUCUGGGAUGCCUCCCAAUGGCCCUUUACAACUCUAUUUAUAGGCUAAGACCCUAGAUAAAAUUAAGUAACCCUCUUUGUACUGUGGGCCUCUUUAUGGGAUAUUAUGUGGGGCUGGGAUGCUUUUUGUCGUUAUGGGACAUUGGGUGAUGGCUUUGGAUUUAAGGUCUUUGUAAUGGAGGAGAAUUAAAUGGUCAAUGCUAUGCAUGAUGUGUUUUUGACUGGGGAUAGGGUGAUCUGGUUUCAUGGUGUGGCCUCAACAAAGUACAUCUGCUGAUGUGUUUUCUAGGCUGUAGCAAGGACUGUAGAAGGUUGUUGGGAUGAGGAUGCUUAACCUUUGAGGUUUGCCUUGUUGCAAUGGGGUUUGGAGAACUUUGCAUUUUAUAUAUAUGGGAGCCGAUGAUUGCUGCUCAAUGCUUGUGAACUGAAGAUUGAAUCAGAUUGGCGUGUCUCGAUAGGAGGGGCAAGGCAAAAAUCAAAUCCUACAAGGAUAAAGUUCUGUUUUUUGUGGAAUCGGUAGUUUUACUUGAGUUAAAAAGGUAGGUGGAAGUGAUGUACAUAUCUCCCUCGUAUGCAAUUGAAUUGCUAAAAUUUCUGCUACCAUUUGGUUUGGUAAGGUCGCAAGCCUCUCGGUGGGUUGAGAUGUUUGGCUGGCAUUUAGCCAUGCUAGUCUAUGCAUUUUUUUCGUUUAAUAUAAACUUUUUCCUUUCUUUGCAUUCAUGUGCAUGUAUGGCUGAUCUCAUGUCAGAGAAGAUCUCAGAGGAAAAUGGAAUCAAGAUUUUGUUAGAGCGAAUGACAUCUUGUAAUGGGUGGGUUGAUGGGCAGAUGGUCUAAUCAUGGAAGUAGGUGUAUGAUGGGUUUGCCACUCUGUUAAUGUAAAAAUAAACUUUUUAAGAACUGAAAAGGGAGGCUUUUCAAAACAAGAAUGAAACAAAUAGACAUGGCGUAAAGAGCAGAGCUAGGAAGCAAGCCUUUUUCUUCUUUGUGAGGGCUUGGAUAUAUUGGAUCCACAUGAUGAAGGGGAAAAAUAUCAUUCGAUGAAUAGUAAUAAAGGGUUAUGUAACAUGUAUCAUUUGCAUGAAGGAAGAAAGAUGGAUUAUGUGAGCAAUCAGAUUUGAAACGGAGGGAUAAUGCCCAUGCAUAUUCUUUUACUCCAAUUAUUUUGUAUGAUUCUUUCAGACUGAACUUGUUAUUUGGUCUAUUGAUCAAGCUGCUAAUUAUUUCAAGGAAACACAUACUACAUCAUGUAUCGAGUUUAUUCUCGGUCUUUGAUCUGCUGGACUGUUUGGAUGUUGAGGUGUUGUCCUUUCUGCUUGUACAGCGUGUAAAUUGUCCCUUUGCUUGUUAUGCCAUAAUUUUCUUUCCUUAUAACUGAGGGCCAUAUAUUGGGUGUGUGUCCUUGUAUUGUUGCAGCCAUUACAUCUGGUCUAACUUUAACUUAGAAUUUAUGAGAACAUAUGAGUUAAGCUAAGUCUCCUAAGAAAACAGUCAUUCUUUCUUGAUUGUAUCUGCUCUGUUCCGUGCAAGAUAUUACCUUCCAAAUUAACGGACACUGAGAUUUAUUGAGUGAAUAAUCGAUAUUGCUUGGAUCAUACAUGUAUUGGCAAUUAUUCCCUCUUUUCAUGCAGGGAGUGCAGGAAUUCUUUUUGUUGUUUUGUUUUUCAUUGCAUUCCUUUUCAUUUUCUUGGGUACCAUUAUUUAUAAAUAAAAUUUCCAGCAUUUUCACCAUAUUAAAAACACACCAAAAUAGUGGUAUAUACUAUUUUUAUAUCUCUUAAAAAUUUGAAUUUCAAAUCCAUUAAUUAGUUUGGUUUUUGACUCCCAUAUCCAGAACUCAAGGCUUUUUAGCACUCUUUACCGGUGACACUGGUGAAAUUCGUGGUGAAGUCAGAGAGCGGAUAGAUACAAAAGUGGCAGAGUGGAGAGAGGAAGGAAAAGCUGAGAUAGUCCCGGGUGUCCUGUUCAUUGAUGAGGUCCACAUGCUUGACAUUGAAUGCUUCUCGUUCCUAAAUCGCGCAUUGGAGAAUGACAUGGCCCCCAUCCUGGUUAUUGCCACAAACCGAGGGAUCACAACUAUCCGAGGCACAAACUACAGGUCUCCUCAUGGAAUCCCAGCCGAUUUCCUCGACCGCCUGCUGAUAAUAUCUACUCAACCAUACACUGAGGAGGAGAUCCGGAAGAUUCUUGACAUCAGAUGUGAAGAGGAAGACGUAGAAAUGUCAAUGGAUGCAAAGGUUCUGCUAACAAAAAUAGGAGCGGAGACCUCUUUGAGGUAUGCGAUCAACUUGAUCACUGCAGCUGCUCUUGCUUGCCAGAAGAGAAAGGGUAAGAUUGUGGAGAUGGGGGAUAUAAGUAGGGUGUAUCAGCUGUUUCUUGAUGUGAAAAGAUCGGCACAGUAUUUAAUGGAGUACCAGAGCCAGUAUAUGUUCAAUGAAGUGCUGAGGGAGGCAGAUGAAAAUGAAACCACACAAUCGAAGUAUUCUGCUCUUGCUUAAUUUAUGUACUAUAGUUGUGUGGAAUCUUGGAUCAAGUCAAAAACAAGAUUUCCUAUGUAGAGGGAUGUGUUCUGUUUAAUACUUUAAAUCUUUGACAGACUAGUUGGUUUUCUUCUAUAUUGGUUCACGCAUUUUUCUUAUCGCAAUGGAGCUCUUUGAUUCAAGGUUUUUUCCUUGACAGGAUGAUUCUGUAUUCUUGGCCGGCUCCUCUGUAUGGACCUUGCAUUGAUGAAAGGCAUGAACACUUGGUGAGCGAAAGAACAAGUACUUGCAGGUGUCAUGGUACGAAAACAUGACGUGGAUUUCUAGGAACCAACAUUCUGAAGCUUUCCUCAAUCCAGGGAACCCCGAGUUUUUGGCCAUCACCAGAUUCGCGCCUUAAAGCAGAAGCUUUCAUUCUCUUUCGGCCCCGUUGCAUUCCAGAACAGACUGUAUAAUCUUUGUUUGUGGUGGUUAAUUGAUAUUAGAAUGGCCUCAGCACCCGAAGGUACUUCUAUAUUUGAACAUAUUUGAGUCUCUUGUUGGAUAAUUGGGCUGAAAAUUUUAUUGAAUUCGUAAAUUGGCCACCAUCACUAGCAAAAUCAUAUGUAUUUAUAAGUACUUAGGAAUAACUUUGGAGUGGGCCGGUCUGAAUUCCAUAAAAAGAAAAAAAAGAUUUGGAUAUUGAUGAUUUUGCAGGUUGUGCUGGCUCGAUUUAUGAAUUCAACAAAAUUUUCAACUCAAUCAUCCAUGCCGACCCUGAAUUGUUUGUUCCUCCAACUAGGGAGUGCGGAGAUUAAUAUAGGGAAGCAUGCCAAAGAUUUGAUUCGUCUUUUCCUCAAAAAAAAAGAAAAAAGAAAAACAAAAAACAAAUGAAGAAACAAAAGAGUGAUGACAUUUGACACCCUGGAUUGGCACCGAAAAUCUUCAAAGCUGCAAUCCAUCAGGAAUCAGUACUAAUAUAACCCAAGGAAUGUGCUGAAGAGCAUGUGCUACCUAGGGAUUUGUCAGUGCCAAAGCUUAGACUAGGUCAGGCUUGUGGAUAUCCACAUGGUUCCGGUACUGGUCGAGAGCUGAGCUCAUGGCUGUCUCUUGGUUUCAAGAGACGAGCAUUGGUUCAAGUGCCUACGGGCCUGUGAGCCUAUGGCCUAUGUCCGAGACGAAACCCGUGCUGGAUCGCUGGACGGCACACGUGCACGUGUGCGCAUGUGAUCGUGUGCAUGCGUGCAAGUGCACGUGCAAGCAUGUGGGCUUGUGCUGGUUGGGUGCACAUGCAAAGCAGCGGCAGGUUCCAAAACAUCCAUAGAUCUCGGUCAAUGGAGGACGAGGGCCUGCCUCAAGGCCCAUCUCUAGAUUCGCUUAGGAGACCAGCGCUUGAGGCGUGGAAGCACACCAAAGUCAAGGACACAUGGAAGCAAGGGAAAUAAAAUAACAUGACAGGAAUGCUUCCCUAUCAAAAGAAGCAUCUUUAUCUUUCUACAGAGACUUAAAGUGGGGUUGGGGCGAUUGGAAGCAAGAAGAUGUGAUUCCGCACCUCCCAGAUUCUCAUCCAACAUUAUGGAUUGCAGCGAAUGACUUCAUUAUUAUUUGUUUAAUGCCAUCUUGCCAGCUUCUAUAUAUAUAUAUAUAUAUAUAUAUAUANNNNNNNNNNNNNNNNNNNNNNNNNNNNNNNNNNNNNNNNNNNNNNNNNNNNNNNNNNNNNNNNNNNNNNNNNNNNNNNNNNNNNNNNNNNNNNNNNNNNNNNNNNNNNNNNNNNNNNNNNNNNNNNNNNNNNNNNNNNNNNNNNNNNNNNNNNNNNNNNNNNNNNNNNNNNNNNNNNNNNNNNNNNNNNNNNNNNNNNNNNNNNNNNNNNNNNNNNNNNNNNNNNNNNNNNNNNNNNNNNNNNNNNNNNNNNNNNNNNNNNNNNNNNNNNNNNNNNNNNNNNNNNNNNNNNNNNNNNNNNNNNNNNNNNNNNNNNNNNNNNNNNNNNNNNNNNNNNNNNNNNNNNNNCCUCCUCUCUCUCUCUCUCUAUGAAGUAAAGAUCAAAUGUAAAAAAUAAAGUGAUGCCCUUUCUUUUUUUUACCUAAAAAAAAAAACCAAACACACGCAAGAGUCUCAGGUGUUCUGAUGGUUCUGAAGGAACCUACAAGGAAUUUGCAAUGCACUAGAGCUAAAACAAGCUGACCAUGGUACCCUUUCACCAGUCCUUAGCUGGUGCUUCAGGUUCGUGAUGGGUGAACUUGACCUACAUAUAUACCUCUUUUUGAUCCAAUAUUGCUGGCAUCCCCAAUAGUAGAAAAAUUCCAGCUUGAUCUUUCCAGUGAGUGACUUAAAUUCGCUCACUGACAUCCAUGAGAUGUGCUCUAGACCUUGCACAUCAGCAGGGAGUCCACCCUGUGUUUGACAGUGACCAUCCAUUGGAGGUCUCUGCUUAGUUUCACAGCUUCUGCUAGCCCUCUUCACAUCCACCACCAUACCAGUUUGUUUUCCUCCAAAUAAUUGUCAUAUCACAUAACGAACUAUAGCUAGUUAGCAGCUCAUUGAGAAGUCUUUUGUUUAUAUUUGACUUGAUCAGAUGGCUGUUUUGUAGAAUGAAGUUUUUUUUUGGUGGGGGUUGGGGGUUGAAAGUAGAAUAAAGUUUGAACUAGAAGCAGACAUCAAGCUGACUAUGAGUGGUGGACUGAUAUGAGAGUGAGUCAUCCAUGGGGUCUCUCCAAUACGAAUGCAUUUUUUUAUUUGGUGUUUUCAUAAUGGGGUUGAGAGAGGAGAGAACUAAAAGCAUAGUGGCGCCUUCCAAGACCAGAGGUCUAAUAUGGACAGAAAACUGAACAGAACCCACAAGCUCCAUUUUGUUACCCCAUUUCAUGACAAAGGAUUCAAUGAAAACAAAACAAAGGCAAUCUUUAUUUUCUCCUCCCUUUUGCUCAGGUUGUUUCCCACUGCAUUGACAGGAAAAAAGCAAAAUAGCAGGGACAAAGGAAAAAUAAAUAAAAGAAGGCCAAAGAAAGAUCUCUUGGAGAUCUGUACAUAUUCUUCCAUCUAUUUCCCUUCAGAACAAGGAGAAUGAAACUUGUCACCAAAUCUUCUUCUCACUUUCAUCCCUGCAGACCUAUUGACAUCGAAAAAUUUUAAAAAAAGCGUGUGAGUUUUUUUUAAAAAAAUAAUAAAGAAAACAAGAAUCUUUCAGCACUGGCGUCUGAUGUCAAGCCUUGAGAACUUCUAUUCCCUGGAAAGAAAACCUAAAGAAUGAGAGAAAACAGCGACAUAACUGGUCUUGCAGGAGUUGGCUUCACAGGAGCAGAGGAAUGCAGGUAACCCAUUUGCUUCUGCAAUGCAGACUUUCCCUGAAGACAUUGUAAUAUGAUCAGCCAGCGAAUAAAGAAUAAAAAGGAUUAGCAAAAUAAAGGAGGGGGAAGAACAAGAAGAGCCUGAAACUUACCUUAAAAUGGGUGGCAGAGAAGCCACAAGAGAACUCCAAAACAUUCUCCACGGAAGCCUUCACAUUGUUGGUGGCGGCAUUGAAGCUGGUCUGAAGAGAUAACAACCCAAAUGUGAAGAGCAUGAGACCAAGGGAAGAGGAAGAAAUAGCAAAGAGCAUACAUACAUCGGGGAAGCUGAAGAGAGGGGAGCUGGCAGUGUCAUCCAAGAGAGAGGCAGACUCCCUCUGUUGUUUACUCUCCACUCUCCUCCUCUUGUCACCAUUCCCGGCCAAUGCAGCAGCCGAGGCAGUUGGAAGGGUGGAGGCAUAGAACAGGCAACCAUUGCCAUUGUAGCAAGUGUUGGAGUGAGAACAGUAGCAGUUGUAAUCUUCCUCACGGAAAUGGGGUGGCCCAGAAGAUGCAUCAGAGACCAUAGAUAAGUCCUCCUCCUCCUCCUCCUCUUCCAUUUCCUCCUCUUGCUCAAUACAGCCAGCUUUUUGGAAGGGAAGAGAGGUUGCGGGCUCAUAGGACUGGUCCAAGUACAUGGUCCACCCAGACUGGCAUCCACUGCUGCACUCCGAACUCUCCUCUUCCUCCACCCCCAGCAUCAUUUGAUCAAUGGGGAGUAACGGGACUUUGGAGACACUCUUCUCUCUCACUUUCUAUUUUUUCCCCCUCCUUUCCCUCUGCGCGCGCGCUUGUAAUGCUCUCCAACACACUACACUUGCAGCGGUACAAAAGAUGGGGGAGAGGAUGGUAGUAGAAGGAAGGGGGGGGGGGGGGGGUAAGAGAGUAGGUNNNNNNNNNNAAUGGAAUCCACCCAAAUCCCAGACCCGUUUUGUCCUAUGCUCAUGCCAUCCUCCCCACCUCCUGGCUUUCCUCGGCGCAGAUGAAAUUAAAACUGCCAGUUGGGCAUUGGUCUCUUUGUUGGUGAUAAUGAGAGAAACAGAGAGAGGAGGGGAAAAAAAGCCUUGUCUCACACUCCCUCUACUCUCUCUCUACACCUCCUCUCUGUGUGUGUGUGUGUGUGUGUGUGUGUGUGUGUGUGUGUAGAAAGAGAGAGACAGGGAGGGGGGUUGGAAGGGAUGGAGCCACAACGGCCUCACAUGCAAUACAGCGUGGCAUUGUGUACCCUCUCUACCCGUUCCAUUAUUUUUCUUUCAAAUCCCGUGAACAAGGGAAAUGAGAGGGGUAUCACACUGUGUGUGUUGGAGGCUGCCAAUUGGACCCAUUGUCUUGGGCCAUGGACCAGGCCCCCACUCUGGCUUUUGGAUUCAUUUGCCACCUCCGCCGCACCGUUUCACUGUUAUCUUAGUUUUAGAGGUGGGGGUUAUGGUGAUGAGUUUUAGGUCACCAUUGUGUUCUUAAUGGUUUCCACAACUAAAGUUAAUGAACAGCGCUGCAAGGCUUUUCUGAUGGUUUUAGGUCAUCACAUGAAUAAUGUUAAGUUUUGAUUUAACUUCUACCAUGCAUUGGAAGAGAUAUGCCACAAUUCUCCAUCCAAAAGAUUUUUCUCCUCCUAUUUUUUUUAGAAAACCAUGGCAAAAUAAGUUAUCUUUAUGGCUUCCUUAGUGGAUGAAGUAGUUUGAUGAUAGAGUUUUGACAAAUUGGGUGACAUCAUAGCUCAUUCUAUUUAUCAUAUAAAUAGGAAUAAUAUUAUAUGAUUACAGAUCACAUUUAUAUGAUACCAAUUUUUUUUUUUUUUUAUUGGUGAUUAAUAAUCAGCUGUUGUCUUUUUUGGCAGAACAACAGUCAGUUCGGAUGUUACAUCACACAGAACAAAUUUAGACCACGGCCAUCAUACUAAAACUACCGUUAUGUGCAGGCAAAUGGAUUGGCGAGUCAUUGUAUGUGAUUUAUCGUUAGGAAGGGACAAAAUAAAGGCAGGGAAAAAACCAUUGAUGUGAAGUGACGCGAGGCGGAGAAGGAGGAGAGGUGGAAGAUCGCAGUUAAACGUCUGAGUCUUUUACUAGAUAGUGUAUUUAAUGCCGAGUCCUAUAUAUGUGUGCAUUGGUUUGGCUCACCACAAACCGUACUGAGAUGCCACCUUCACCUAUGAAUCUCCAGGCAUGCGAGGUGCAGCUCAGAUAAAACACCUGAAAAGUGAAAAGGUAAGAUAUACAUAUCAAAGUGACAGCAAUAAGCUAGCAUUGGAGAAUAUAGAGUAGCUUGUAGCACUGGAGCUAUAACAAAAGCAAUUCAAUUUGUACACUUGAGCUGCACUACCUACUCGUAAAAGAGUCAAAAUGACAGCAGUCUAACAUAGGAUACAGACUAUUUGAUAAGACUAAACCAAGCAACUAUCAUCAUAGUACUUAAAAACUGCUAUGCAUGUCAACUAUUGGGGAUCCUAAGACAUUAUUAUGCCAUCAACACUACCCUUAACUAUUGGGGAUAUCUAGGGUUUUAGUUUUCUAUGUGUAGGGUCAAUAAAUGGUGACUUGUAGGCUUGUAUUUGUGUCAAAUUGUAUGUGUGUGUGUGAGAGAGAGAGAGAGAGAUGCAAUGGUAGACUAGAAUUAAUGUCUCCACAUGCUACCACCUCCAGUGUAACUGUUCCUUUUCCUAAGGGGAAGACUCUUCCUUUCCCUCCCUCUCUCCUCCCUUCAAAGGUUUUGGUUGACACCGAGAUGGACAAAGGCAGAAAUAUCGAUGGCGCACACACAGAGACAUUUGAUCAAACAUGUGCCGAGGCACAUGCUCCCAACUAUCCAUUGGCCAUCAUGGUAUGUUAGUCUCGUAAAUCUCAUCCUAUGGGCUAUGGAUCAGCAAUAGAUCCACCAUCAUAACCAGUGGCUGCUGUGUCGCCACCUGAUCAAGAUAUUUGAUCCGAAUCGAGUCUUCUUGGGACCACUUGAUCCUCCUUUUUUCCUUCCUUCUCUGAUGGGAAGUUUGUACCAUGUGCAUGCGAGCAUGGCGUGCAUGCCUAUUCUCGUGCAUUCAUAUCUGCACCAGAUUUUGGGGACCAUGGUUUUCUCUUCAGUCCUUGAGAUUGUGAUCUUGCACAUAUUGGGCUUGUGAAAGCUAUGAUAUCAUGAUAUAUAUAUAUGUGCCUUCUGUAUCACUUACCAAUGUGAAGAUUGUCUAGACGCAAUGUGGGUCCAUAUAUAUAUUAAGGAAGCAAUGAAGUCCAUUUAUCCAAUUACAAUUAAUACCACCUUAUUGCCUCCCAAGGAGUUACAAGGGGGUGAUAUUCUAGUGAAGAAGGGAUUAAGCCAAGAGUUCGACAAUGAUAAGAGCCCAAAUUUUUUGGAAUAAACAUGACUUUCUGAAGAGAGGGUUCCUUAAAAGUGUAGUUGAGCAUCUUUUGCCAAUUAUAUCUUGGGGGUAGCUCAAGCCAAGUGGCACUAUGAUCAGAAGGAUUUCCCUGAGCAUAUCAUGAGGCCAAGAGAAAAGCUAGGGCAGGCCCAGUGCUUGGUGCUCUUUCCUCUCUUUGAAUGCACUGGCCACAUGAUUGAGGACUUGGUGUCCCAUCUUGGCCUAAAGAAGGAGAGCUAUUACACACCACAUACAUAUAAGAAUAUCCUCUAACAAGCUAUGGUACUCUUUUGAGUGUCCUAUUAUUGAUUCUGUUAUUAAAUUCCUUUCGGUGGCACUAAGUGAAUAUAUAUUCACUUUGAACUGUAGAUUGGAUCUCAUGAAGCCAAUGGAAAUUAUCAAUGACCAAAUGGGUGGGUAAGACUGAAACUGAAACUUCGAUAUUUACUAUUCAUGUGUUUGCGUGCUACGAAUACAAUCAUAUGAGAACUAGCAUUGCUACGAGCAACUAAGCAUGGCCCCUUGACAUGAUUAGGGAAGAAAAUUAAUCUAUAUAUAAGUUUUGAGAAUAUAUCUGUCCAUACUAUCAGAUUAAGAUUAAUUAGUGAUUUUGUUGGAUAAGUUUAUUACUUUGUAAUUUCUCGAUUUUUCGAAGCCAUAUAUUUGAAAAUUAGAAAUGUGAGACACAACUUUUGCAUUGUUUACCAAUUGAGACAUGGUCCUGUCCAAUAAUACAACAGCCUGCUUGUAUUAAUGCAGGAUGGGUCCCCAUAUAUUUUGAGCAUGCGCAAUGUCGAGUAACAUGAAAACAGUAAAAGCCAUCAGCGUCCAAAAGUUUUGCUUAUAUGGGUUCCUUAGCUUUCUUAAUUCAUCCAGGAUUAUUUGUCAGCUUAAUUUCUUGUUAGUUUUAACAAUUUUCAGGUAAGGUUGUAAAUUAAAUGAGCUAAGUUUUGGGUUGCUCAAUCUUGGCUUGUUAAAAUCAAAAUGACCAUUUGACUACAGUGCGUCUUAACUGUACUAAUAUUCUAGCUUGGUUCAUUUUAUGAUAAGACAGCUUGAAUAAGCUUGUUAUCGAGAGCUAAGUUAAGCUUCUACUUGUAUCUUGCAAGCUUAGGGUGCCUGAGCUUGGCUUGUUUAUGAGUCGACCUUAAAUGGGACUUCGAGUUGGCUUCUUUUCUAAUCGAACAAGCUCAAAAAAACCUAUAGUCAAUGGAGUUGUACUCAAACAGCUUAGUUCCUCUGUGGCCCUACCCUAAACUUGAACCAGAUUCAGACGAACAGAUACGUGCGCCAAGACACACACAUGCGGAUGCUACAUAUUUUCUUAGCGUUCCUCUAAAUUGUUACAAACAUGAUCUUAACGUUUCUUCUUGAAUAUAAAAAUUUAAGAGCUUACUUUCUCCUCGAUCUCUCAGUCAUAUAAUAUCUAUAUAAAUCCAGUCCUUUUUAAAUCAUAAAUACCAGAAACUCAUGAUUACCUUAGUUUUUUUUUUUGUGACAUUACACAGUUGCAUGAUUGAAUGAGUCUGAUCUUUCCACUUCGUUUGAAUCCUCUAACAAUUUCAUGAUCUUUAGCAUCUCUUAGUAAAUCCUUCCAACAGGUUUUCAUUGUCUACAGAAGACUCAUUGGAGCCUUCUUCAACAGCCAUCAUCAUGCAAGUUCUGAAAAGGUGGCACACUAAUAAUCCACUCCACAUGCAAAAAGGUUUGAAUGGUUAUUUCCCAAUAUGAGGGCUAUGACAAGAGGGCCCUUUCCCAAAGGAAAAGGUCUGCAGCUGUUCUGAGGCUCAACUUACAGCCAUUUUGUUUUGGCAGUAUAAGACUCCAUUAAUUUCUAUGCAGAAAAGUAAAUUAAUGUAGUAUAAAUUGAUUUGCUCGAGUCCUAGAUGAGAUAAAAGAAACUGAAAACAUCAAACACAAAGU